rnacentral:rRNA from 1 species
GACGAACGCUGGCGGCGUGCCUAACACAUGCAAGUCGAACGGAGAAGUUCAGCAAUGGAUUUCUUAGUGGCGAACGGGUGAGUAACGCGUAGACAACCUGCCUCUAAGCUGGGGACAACAACUCGAAAGGGUUGCUAAUACCGAAUGUGAACAGCGUCUCGCAUGAGAUGCUGUUUGAAGGUGGCCUCUGAACAUGCUACCGCUUAGAGAUGGGUCUGCGUCUGAUUAGCUAGUUGGAGGGGUAACGGCCCACCAAGGCGACGAUCAGUAGCCGGUCUGAGAGGAUGAACGGCCACACUGGGACUGAGACACGGCCCAGACUCCUACGGGAGGCAGCAGUGGGGAAUCUUCCGCAAUGGACGAAAGUCUGACGGAGCAACGCCGCGUGAGUGAAGAAGGCCCUCGGGUCGUAAAGCUCUGUCUUCAGGGACGAAUGUGCAGAUUGUAAAUAAUGGUUUGCAAUGACGGUACCUGAGGAGGAAGCCACGGCUAACUACGUGCCAGCCGCCGCCGUAAUAC